rnacentral:tRNA from 2 species
GCCCCGGUGGCGGAGUAGGUAGACGCUACGGACUUAAAAUCCGUUGGCCGCAAGGCCGUGCCGGUUCGAUUCCGGCCCGGGGCACCA